GUUCUUCCCUGGGAACAAUAUCCUGGUGCUGUAUGAGUGAGUGGGGAAAAGCUCCAGCAUCAGUGAUUUUGUUACUAGGGGCA
rnacentral:pre_miRNA from 8 species